GAUGAACGCUGGCGGCGUGCCUAAUACAUGCAAGUCGAGCGAACAGACGAGGAGCUUGCUCCUCUGACGUUAGCGGCGGACGGGUGAGUAACACGUGGAUAACCUACCUAUAAGACUGGGAUAACUUCGGGAAACCGGAGCUAAUACCGGAUAAUAUAUUGAACCGCAUGGUUCAAUAGUGAAAGACGGUUUUGCUGUCACUUAUAGAUGGAUCCGCGCCGCAUUAGCUAGUUGGUAAGGUAACGGCUUACCAAGGCGACGAUGCGUAGCCGACCUGAGAGGGUGAUCGGCCACACUGGAACUGAGACUCGGUCCAGACUCCUAAGGGAGGCAGCAGUAGGGAAUCUUCCGCAAUGGGCGAAAGCCUGACGGAGCAACGCCGCGUGAGUGAUGAAGGUCUUCGGAUCGUAAAACUCUGUUAUUAGGGAAGAACAAAUGUGUAAGUAACUAUGCACGUCUUGACGGUACCUAAUCAGAAAGCCACGGCUAACUACGUG
rnacentral:rRNA from 1 species